rnacentral:rRNA from 1 species
AACGAACGCUGGCGGCAGGCUUAACACAUGCAAGUCGAACGCCCCGCAAGGGGAGUGGCAGACGGGUGAGUAACACGUGGGAACGUGCCCUAAGGUUUGGAAUAUUCCCGGGAAACUGGGAGCAAUACCAAAUGUUUCCGUAAGGAGAAAGAUUUAUCGCCUUAGGAUCGGCCCGCGUCAGAUUAGGUAGUUGGUGGGGUAAUGGCCUACCAAGCCGACGAUCUGUAGCUGGCCUGAGAGGACGACCAGCCACACUGGGACUGAGACACGGCCCAGACUCCUACGGGAGGCAGCAGUGGGGAAUCUUGGACAAUGGGCGCAAGCCUGAUCCAGCCAUGCCGCGUGGAUGAUGAAGGCCCUAGGGUUGUAAAAUCCUUUCGUUGGGGACGAUAAUGACGGUACCCAAAGAAGAAGCUCCGGCUAACUUCGUGCCAGCCGCCGCGGUAACAC